UACGUAGGGUGCGAGCGUUGUCCGGAAUUAUUGGGCGUAAAGGGCUCGUAGGCGGUUUGUCGCGUCGGGAGUGAAAACCCAGGGCUUAACUCUGGGCUUGCUUUCGAUACGGGCAGACUAGAGGUAUGCAGGGGAGAACGGAAUUCCUGGUGUAGGCGGUGAAAUGCGCAGAUAUCAGGAGGAACACCGGUGGCGAAGGCGGUUCUCUGGGCAUUACCUGACGCUGAGGAGCGAAAGUGUGGGGAGCGAACAGG
rnacentral:rRNA from 1 species